AAAGUACUCCCUCCGUCCCAAAAUUCUUGUCUUUGAUUUGUCUAGAUACAAAUGUAUCAAGUCACAUUUUAGUAUUAGAUACAUCCAUAUCUAGACAAAUCUAAGACAAGAAAUUUGGGACAGAGGGAGUAGUUG
rnacentral:pre_miRNA from 1 species